GUGACAGAUCUCCGUCGCCGCUGCAGCACAUCGGCCAGCAGCCCUCCUCCCGGCGAGGAUGCUUCCUCCGUCUCCAUCUCCAAAGCUAUGUCCGCGUUCACGCGGGGAAGAUUCCCAACCCGGCCGCAGAUCCGCGUUCACGCGGGGAAGAGAGUCACUUGGGUGCUCCCCGUCCCCGGUCAAAGAAAGAGACAACUCCGGCGAAUCUUUCUUCCCCUCUGGCGCGCACACUCGACCACAUCCAGUCCACACCUCGUCGCCGUCGCCGUCGCCGUAGCCGUCGGCACUUAUUAGGCCGCGAGUCUGCUACCACUCGAAUCAGAGAACAAAAAGAAGAAUCUGCACCCCUUCUUCAUUGUGCCUAUCUCUUCUUCCUGGCAAGCGUCUUCCUCCUUGCUUCCCGGUCACCGGCGGCAACGGCGUCCCUUACAGACGGCGUUGAUACAGGCUCUGAGAACCGCGUCAGUGUUAUCGGUGUCCCCGUGAGAUCCGCCCGGGCCAGCAAUGGCGGCAGCGGCAGCCGUCGUCGGGGGCAUGGUCGCCUCAGGCGUCAUCAAGGUGGUGAUCAAGCAGAUCGGCUCCGCCAUCGGCGGCAAGAUCAAGCUGCACAGGAACCUCAAGAGGGACCUGGAGAAGAUGAAGAUGACGCUGGAGUCCGUGGAGGCCGCGCUCAGCGAUGCCGAGAGGCGGUCCAUCACCGACAGCUCGGCGCUCCUAUGGGUGAACCGGCUCAAGGCCGCCAUGUAUGACAUCUCCGACAUGCUCGACUGACUUCGAAUCUGACACCCAGUCCCUGGUCGGAGCUAUGAGGAAGAAGAUCAGUAUGCCGGACAAGAUGAAAAAGAUGCAAAAGCGUCUACAGAAGAUAACAGAGGACCAUCAGAACUAUCAUCUCCUGCCAGAAACUCGCAGCAAUGAGCCGCAACUUCCUGAUAUCCGGGAAAAUGCAGGGACUAUGGUGGAAGCAGAAAUCAUCGGGAGGGCAGAGGAAAAACUGGAAAUCUUGGCUCCAUUAUCUGGGAGCACAACUGAACAUACCACCUUUGUUCCCAUAUGGGGCUUGGGAGGCAUUGGAAAGUCCACCUUGGCAAGAUUGGUUUACAAUCAUCCUGAGUUUGAAAAACACUCUCGGGUAUGGGUCUAUGUUUCCCAGAUAUUUGACUUGAAAAAAAUUGGCAACACUAUAAUAUCACAACUAUCAAGACAACAAAGCCAGCAGAUACUUGAUCUGCACAGUAUUAACAUUCACCUUCAAGAGCUACUUGGAAGAAGAAUGCUUUGAUCAUUCUGGAUGACCUGUGGGAGAAGCGUCCUUCUCAACUAGAAGAAUUAAAGUCUAUGCUGAAGCAGAGUAAGGGGUGCAAGGUGAUGGUUGUAGUUACCACACGUGAUGAAGGGAUUGCAAAUGAAAUCUCCAUUGUGCGGCCUUACAACUUACCUCAAUUGUCAGAUGAGAUGUGCUGGCAAAUAAUGAGCCAAAAAAGUAAAUUUGAAACAAGGGACGACAAAGAGCGGUUGGAACCGAUUGGAAGGGAUAUUGCAAAAAAGUGCAAAGGCGUAGCUUUGGCUGCUCAAUCACUUGGACACAUUUUGAGGUCCAAGUCGUAUGGAGAAUGGAAUUCGGUCAGAACCAAUCAUAUCUGGAAUCUAUCUACUUCUACAGAUGCAUCAUCUAGUCAUGAAGUGCUUGGAUCCUUGUUGUUAAGCUACAACUUGAUGCCUCCAUACUUAAAGUUGUGCUUUGCUUAUUGUGCAAUCUUUCCAAAGGGCCACAAAAUGAUUAAAGAUGAGUUAAUUCAUCAAUGGAUUGCUCUUGGAUUCAUGGAGCCAUCUAGUAUAUUCUCUUAUUGGCAACUCGGUGAGAGUUACAUUGUGCAGCUUCUGGAGAUGUCAUUUCUUCAACAUUCAAAGGCUGUUGUUGAAUGGUACGACACAAACAAGAUUGUCACACUGUUUACAAUGCAUGACCUGGUGCAUGACCUCGCAAGGUCAGUCAUGGCUGACGAAUUUGACUUGGCGGGCCCCAACUGCCGCUAUGCUUGGAACAUAGAUUGCACGAAGCCACUAAAGUCAUCCAAGACUUCACCUGAAAAGUUAAGGGCGCUGAAUAUUGUGGGCGCUGGCAACAGAGGGCCGCCUAUGUUCCAUCGUGAUGCAAUUGUACCAGCAAAGUACAUCCGUGUCUUGCAUGCAACAGUCAAUUCAAAUAGGUUGUUCGUUUCUAUUAGUCAAUUGAAGCAGUUGAGGUAUCUUAAUGCUCCAAAUAUCCAUGGUCCAGUGGAUUUCGGGUGUAUCGGUAUGCUUCAGAAAUUGAAUUAUCUCAACCUUCGUCAUUGUGAGGAAUUGUCAGCAUUGCCAGAUUCAAUUGGUGAAAUGGAAGGUCUGAUGUAUCUUAACUUAUCAGGUUGUCCAAAUCUGAAAGAACUCCCAGAUUCGUUUGCGGAUCUCAAAGAGUUGGUAUAUCUGAACUUAUCAAACAGUGAUAACGUUUUAGGACUGCCCAAUGCUUUGGCUGACCUUACCAAACUCCAACAAUUAGAAUUAACAGCAUGCAGAACUCUCAGAGGGCGGCCAGACGUCAUCAUCAAUCUUACUGAACUCCGCUAUCUGAGGCUAUCUGGGUGCAUGCAUCAUAUAUUUGACAGCUCAUCAACAGAUCAAACCGAGAGUUUCAUUGACAGUAUCUGUAGGCUUCCCAAUAUGGAGCACCUGGACCUGUCUUUUAAUGGCCAUCCUCUUAUUAGUAUACCAGAAAAUGCUAGCUGCCUCCGGAAGCUGGUACUUCACGGGUGCCGCCAAGUUGCCAGGCUUCCAGAAUGUGUGGCUAAAAUGGACCGUCAAAUCCUUUUUGGCUUGUUGCCACUAUUUUCUAUAACUACUGAUGAUGGUAAAUGUUACAGCAACCUUGGCUUUCUUGAGCAUGUAAAUCCUCACAAGCUGAACAUCAAGAAACUUGAAAAUGUGAAGUCCCCAGAAGAGGCACGGAGUGUAAGACUGAUUGAAAAACAUAGGAUUGAAGAAAUGUCAUUAAUGUGGAACCCACAAGCUGAGAGAUCUGUGGAUGACAUGGAGUUGCUGAGGGAGCUAGUGCCACCAACCACUUUGCAAAAGUUUGAGAUAUAUGGUUAUAUUAGUGCCAGCUUUCCAGACUGGGUAAUGAGUAUUGGCAAUUAUCCCCCUAAUCUUGACCGAAUGGAGAUGUAUGGUUUGCCCAACUGCAAAAGCCUUCCACCUCUCGCCCAACUACCACCAAACCUCCGGGUGCUUACUCUGGAAGAAAUGGAAUGCCUGGAAGAAUGGAACACAACAUACUGCAGCGGUGAGGAUGGUGUGAAUGAGCUUAUGUUGUGUAAGCUUGAGCAAGUGAACAUACAUUUUUGCCCCAAGUUGAGGAUAACACCACACCUUCCUAGAGCUGCAUCUUGGAGUAUACGGGGAAGUGAUAAUGUGCUCAUAUCAUGGGCAGAGAGCGUGUCACACAAUGAUGCUUCCUCAUCUUUUUCAGGAGUAUCUACUACUCUGAUAGUUGGAAGAAGCAAGGUGCCUCUGCACCAGUGGAGAUUGCCUCACCAUAUACCUGCCCUCAUUGCUUUGCACACCUAUAAUUGCUGGGAUUUGACAAGCUCGCCAGAGAUCACCUGGGCCCUCCAGUCCCUGAAAUCACUCAAACUGGACAGCUUUGCCCAAUCAAAACUGUCGGAAUGGGUAGGAGAGUUGGCCUCUGUUCAGCAACUGACGAUAAACCGAUGCAUGAUGCUAGAGGAAUUGCCCGGUAACAUGAGGCAACUCAAACAGCUGCAAUCAUUAAAACUAAAUAUCUGUUGUAGCUUGAGACAGCUGCCGCUGUGGUUAGGAGAACUUACCUCUCUCAAGAAACUUAUAAUUUGGAAAUGUUCUGCUAUCACGACUCUGCCGAACAGCAUACAGCAGCUCACAAACCUCCAAGAAUUAGAAAUUCACGGCUGCCCUAACUUAGAGCAGUGGUGUGAAGCAGAGGAGAACAAGCCGAAGCUUGCUCACAUAGAAAAAAAGAUUUGGCAGAGUACGAUUUUCUCCCCGAAGAGGGCUGCCACUCCCGCCAGCUGCCGAUGUUCCCAACUACGGUGGCCCUUGCUGCGAAAGAAAAUAAGAAAGUGAUGCUGGAAAAAAGAAAGCGGAGGCGUGAAUCAGGAUUUAGGCUGCUCGAUCGAGUUGGUUGAGCCCACGUCCAUCUUAUUCAAAACUCCGUAGUAAUUACUACAACGUGGUUCCAAGCUACUCCUGGUAUGUAAAUCUACAUGCCCUGAAAUAGAAAAAUCUCUAGCGUAUUCCAAGCAGACGUAUAAGAAAUCAAAGUGUGGGGAUAAUUGCAUGUUAUCUGCUUUCCUUGACAAAGAAAAUGUGAUCCAGUCUCUCGGAAAGAGCUCUUCUCCUUUGGUCAUUUGUUCUGUAGUCGUAGAGAGCCAGCUGUAUGGUUUUCCUGACUAUGCCUGUUGGUAAUAGUCUGAACCCUUACACUGACAAUCCCAUGUUCAGUGCAAUGUAUUCUUUCUGGUUUUAUUGGAUAGGAGAAAUAAUGAAACCUAGUUAAGCCAACAUGACCUGACAAGGUUUGAAAGAACAGCUGAAAAGCAGGGCAGUCCUCAG
rnacentral:rRNA from 1 species